rnacentral:rRNA from 1 species
UACAGAGGGGGCAAGCGUUGCUCGGAAUUAUUGGGCGUAAAGAGCUCGUAGGCGGUCUGUCGCGUCGAUCGUGAAAACUUGGGGCUUAACCCUGAGCUUGCGGUCGAUACGGGCAUGACUGGAGUUCGGCAGGGGAGACUGGAAUUCCUGGUGUAGCGGUGAAAUGCGCAGAUAUCAGGAGGAACACCGGUGGCGAAGGCGGGUCUCUGGGCCGAUACUGACGCUGAGGAGCGAAAGCGUGGGGAGCGAACAGG